rnacentral:rRNA from 1 species
UACAGAGGUCUCAAGCGUUGUUCGGAUUCAUUGGGCGUAAAGGGUGCGUAGGUGGCGCCGUAAGUCGGGUGUGAAAUUUCGGAGCUUAACUCCGAAACUGCAUUCGAUACUGCGGUGCUUUGAGGACUGGAGAGGAGACUGGAAUUCAUGGUGUAGCAGUGAAAAUGCGUAGAGAUCAUGAGGAAGACCAGUGGCGAAGGCGGCUCACUGGCCCGGUACUGACGCUGAGGUGCGAAAGCGUGGGGGAGCAAACAGG